UCCUACGGGAGGCAGCAGUAAGGGAUAUUGCGCAAUGGACGAAAGUCUGACGCAGCAACGCCGCGUGCGGGAUGACGGCCUUCGGGUUGUAAACCGCUUUUCUGCGUGAAGAGGAAGGACGGUAGCGCAGGAAUAAGUCUCGGCUAACUACGUGCCAGCAGCCGCGGUAAAACGUAGGAGGCGAGCGUUAUCCGGAUUUACUGGGUGUAAAGCGCGUGCAGGCGGUAUCGUAAGUUAUGCGUGAAAGCGCUCAGGCUCAACCGGGCGAGGACGUGUAAAACUGCGGUACUAGAGGUAGGUAGAGGCGUGUGGAAUUCCGGGUGUAGUGGUGAAAUGCGUAGAGAUCCGGAGGAACACCAGUGGCGAAGGCGACACGCUGGACCUGACCUGACGCUAAGACGCGAAAGCAUGGGUAGCGAACGGGAUUAGAAACCCCGGUAGUCCAUGCCGUAAACGAUGCCUACUAGGUGUUGCGGCUUAACCGUUGCAGUGCCGAAGCCAACGUGAUAAGUAGGCCACCUGGGGAGUACGGUCGCAAGAUUAAAACUCAAAGGAA
rnacentral:rRNA from 1 species